UACAGAGGGUGCAAGCGUUAAUCGGAAUUACUGGGCGUAAAGCGUGCGUAGACGGUUACAUAAGUCGGGUGUGAAAGCCCCGGGCUCAACCUGGGAAUUGCAUUCGAGACUGCGUAGCUAGGGUGCGGAAGAGGGAAGCGGAAUUUCCGGUGUAGCGGUGAAAUGCGUAGAUAUCGGAAGGAACACCAGUGGCGAAGGCGAGUCCCUGGACAACACCUGACACUGAGGCACGAAAGCUAGGGGAGCAAACAGG
rnacentral:rRNA from 1 species